GUGCCAGCCGCCGCGGUAAUACGGAGGGGGCUAGCGUUGUUCGGAAUUACUGGGCGUAAAGCGCACGUAGGCGGACUGGAAAGUCAGAGGUGAAAUCCCAGGGCUCAACCUUGGAACUGCCUUUGAAACUAUCAGUCUGGAGUUCGAGAGAGGUGAGUGGAAUUCCGAGUGUAGAGGUGAAAUUCGUAGAUAUUCGGAGGAACACCAGUGGCGAAGGCGGCUCACUGGCUCGAUACUGACGCUGAGGUGCGAAAGCGUGGGGAGCAAACAGGAUUAGAAACCCCAGUAGUCC
rnacentral:rRNA from 1 species